rnacentral:rRNA from 1 species
CCCGACCCCGUCACACCACUGGGAGUCAGUUGCUCUAGAAGUCGGUGCGACCAACCUCGUGAGGCAGCCGCCUAAAGAGUGACUGGGUGACGUGGGGUG